rnacentral:rRNA from 1 species
AAGUCGGCAAAACGGAUCCGUAACCUUGGGAUAAGGAUUGGCUCUGAGGACUGAGCCGGUCGGGCUGGGGACCUGAAGCAGGAACGGCACUGCACCGGGACUGGGCGGGGCUCGCCGUUCACGCGGCGCGGCCAAGCCCGGACCAGCGUCGGGACCUUCCUGUGGAAAGCCUCAGCUGCGCGGCGUCUGAGGGCUUCGUGCCCAAAGUGCUAUGCUUCGGCAGGCAAAAAACAGUCAACUCAGAACUGGCACGGACCGGGGGAAUCCGACUGUCUAAUUAAAACAAAGCAUUGCGAUGGCCGCUGGUCGGUGUUGACGCAAUGUGAUUUCUGCCCAGUGCUCUGAAUGUCAACGUGAAGAGAUUCAUCAAAGCGCGGGUAAACGGCGGGAGUAACUAUGACUCUCUUGUCGCGCACAGUAUGCACAAUGUGCGCGCGGAAAAGGGGUUGUGGUUGCUCGCUG